rnacentral:rRNA from 1 species
GAUUAUUGGGCCUAAAGCAUCCGUAGCCGGUACUGCAAGUCUUCCGUUAAAUCCACCUGCUUAACAGUUGGGCUGCGGGGGAUACUACAGCGCUAGGAGGCGGGAGAGGCAAGCGGUACUCAAUGGGUAGGGGUAAAAUCCGCUGAUCCAUUGAAGACCACCAGUGGCGAAGGCGGCUUGCCAGAACGCGCUCGACGGUGAGGGAUGAAAGCUGGGGGAGCAAACCGGAUUAGAUACCCGGGUAGUCCCAGCUGUAAACGUUGGGCGCUAGGUGUGGGAUCCCUUCCACGGGUUCCGUGCCGCAGCUAACGCAUUAAGUGCCCCGCCUGGGGAGUACGGCCGCAAGGCUAAAACUCAAAGGAAUUGACGGGGGCCCGCACAAGCGGCGGAGCAUGUGGGAUUAAUUCGAUGCAACGCGAAGAACCUUACCUGGGUUUGACAUACACCGGAAAGCCGUGGAGACACGGCCUCCGCAAGGCCGGUGUACAGGUGGUGCAUGGCUGUCGUCAGCUCGUGUCGUGAGAAGUUGGGUUAAGUCCCGCAACGAGCGCAACCCUCGUCCCAUGUUGCCAGCGGGUGAUGCCGGGGACUCAUGGGAGACUGCCGGGGUCAACUCGGAGGAAGGUGGGGACGACGUCAAGUCAUCAUGCCCCUUAUGUCCAGGGCUUCACACAUGCUACAAUGGCCGGUACAGAGGGCUGCUAAGCCGUGAGGUGGAGCGAAUCCCACAAAGCCGGUCUCAGUUCGGAUCGGGGUCUGCAACUCGACCCCGUGAAGUCGGAGUCGCUAGUAAU